AAGAUGACUAUAUUCACAUGGCAUCCCAAAUUAAAUUCUCAUUAGGUCCACAUCAUCUGAACCUGGACUGUAGACCAAAUAAUGGUUACCAUGGAAUAAUUUAUUUAUAGUUGGAAUCAAGGUUUGUAAAAGGUAUCCAUAAGAAGCCACAAUGAGAGAAAUGAUACAAUGAUAUAUGCAAGGACAUCCCUUCCCCUCUUCUCUAUGGAUGCCAUUGUAUCGUGUAAACGCAGCUGUUUUUUUGUUAAGAUUUCUGAGCAUACAAAGUGCCUAUUUCAUUGUUCUGGUGUUUGGAAAUGUACUUAUUUCUACUCAGCAACAAAACUUUAUGAUAUUCUUUGGAUUUGUAUUAAAGGAUGCAGAAAGAUGAUGCUAGAGAGAGAGAGAGCUACAAAUCAUCUUCCAUAUUAUUUACACCAUUCUGCAUCUGAAUUUCAAGUUAUGUGUUGAGGAAAGGACAAUGAAAAGGAAAUCUGGCAGAUAGCAAGACUGAUGAAAUUCUUGGGCUCCCUUGGAUUUUUCUAAGAAUUUGCCAAAGAGUCAUCAAUAUUUGACUCAGUUGGAUCAAGAUGGAUAUAUUUUGUCUUUUGUUAUUUAACUAUUGAUCAAAUUUGAAUAUACAUUUUUAGAUAAAUUAUAGUUUCCAUUCCUUUUUAUUGAAUGUUCUUUUGUGUUAGAUUCUUUUGCUUUUGCUAUCAAAACCCUGUAUACAGUAAAAAUGUACAAAUUAUAUGUAUGUGAAUAUAUGCACUUUUUAAAGAAUCACAUAUAGUUUAAUCUCAUAAAUUUCUCAGUGACCCAAAGCACCACUAAAAUCUUUAGGUAAUUAAAAUCGAUAUGAAUGCAAGCAAGGGUUAAUUAAAAGUUAUUCUGCCACACAGGCUUUUGUGAAGAAAAUAUCUGGUUGCUCAGGAGCUUAAGAUAAUCAUAGCUCAAAUUAGGAACAACUGCUUUCUGAGAAUAAUUAUAAGAUUUAUGGCCAACGUACAGGUCCACAAUAAUGGAUAAUAGCAUUAAUAAGGUAUUUAUUAUUUCUGUGUAUCAUUAAAUUAUGUGGUGACAGUUUGUCCCUAGAACUUCACUUUCCUUAAACACAGCACCCAUCAAAUCUUCCAUCCUGAAAUAGGCAGUGACAUCAACUAGAUUUUGGAGUGACUCAUUGGCCCUAAGCUCCUAGCUCAACAGCAAUAGCUCUUAGACCUAUAUACACAGUUCUAUAGUGCUUCACAGCACUCUCUGAGUAGUUUACAAAUGUCCGCAUAUUGCCCCCAACAUUCUGGCUUCUCAUAUUACCAACCUCGAAAGGAUGGAAGGCUGAGUCAACCUUGACUGGUGUGGAUCGAACUCCUGGCAGUAGGCAGAAUUAUCCUGCAAUACUGCAUUCUAACCACUGUGCUAGCACAGCUCUUAAAGUUCAAAAGCCCUUUCUCUUUUCAUCUGCUGAAAUGAAGAGUGUUGUACCCUACAAUUGUGGGGGGUAGCAGAUUGGAGUGGUUAGGUUGGUGCCUCAUCAGUAUGAUAACACGAUUUUAACAAUUGUACAGAUGCCUGUUGCCAGUUGUUCUGGUUCCCUGGUUUCAGAAUACAUUUUCCAACUUCAGGAUUUUAGUCUUUUGGAACAGAUGUCCUUUUUGUUUAUUUUCCUGAACUCUACAAAACAUUUCUGUUUCUUAUGCUAAUUGAUAUUCAAUUUACUAAAUUGAAUAAAAAUGUAGUCAUGUACAGGGUUAUCAAAACAGUUCCUAACUAUGGAACCAGGACAAUGUUAUCCAGGACACUCUUGCCAAACUUUUCCCCAUUCAUCUUUCUAUCAGAUUCUAUCCCAACUUUACACCAUAACAACUUUUUCCUGUAACAAUUCUGAACCAGCUUUCAAUAAUUUCAGCCAGAUAACAUAUAAAAAAAAAUCUAAAACUGAUUAGGAUAAACCAAAAUAUUAUUGGGAAAAUAAAGCUUCUGUAUAAGUCCA